GGCAACUGGCGCCAGAGGAGGGGCCUGCGUCGCAUCAGCUAGUUGGUGGGGUAACGGCUCACCAAGGCGAAGACGCGUAGCUGGUCUGAGAGGAUGAUCAGCCACACUGGGACUGAGACACGGCCCAGACUCCUACGGGAGGCAGCAGUGGGGAAUAUUGGACAAUGGGCGCAAGCCUGAUCCAGCCACGCCGCGUGAGUGAUGAAGGCCUUCGGGUCGUAAAGCUCUGUGGGGAGGGACGAACGACCGGGUGUAGAGCCCGGGUUGACGGUACCUCCUUAGCAAGCACCGGCUAACUUCGUGCCAGCAGCCGCGGUAA
rnacentral:rRNA from 1 species